rnacentral:rRNA from 1 species
UACGUAGGGUCCGAGCGUUGUCCGGAAUUAUUGGGCGUAAAGGGCUCGUAGGCGGUUCGUCACGUCGGGAGUGAAAACUCGGAGCUUAACCCCGAGCCUGCAGUGGAUACGGGCAGACUAGAGGUAGGUAGGGGAGAAUGGAAUUCCCGGUGUAGCGGUGAAAUGCGCAGAUAUCGGGAGGAACACCGGUGGCGAAGGCGGUUCUCUGGGCCUUACCUGACGCUGAGGAGCGAAAGCGUGGGGAGCGAACAGG